AACGAACGCUGGCGGCAUGCCUAACACAUGCAAGUCGAACGAAGUCUUCGGACUUAGUGGCGCACGGGUGCGUAACGCGUGGGAAUCUGCCCUUGGGUGCGGAAUAACUUCUCGAAAGGGAUGCUAAUACCGCAUAAUGUCGUAAGACCAAAGAUUUAUCGCCCAAGGAUGAGCCCGCGUAAGAUUAGCUAGUUGGUGGGGUAAAAGCCUACCAAAGCGACGAUCUUUAGCUGGUCUGAGAGGAUGAUCAGCCACACUGGGACUGAGACACGGCCCAGACUCCUACGGGAGGCAGCAGUGGGGAAUAUUGGACAAUGGGCGAAAGCCUGAUCCAGCAAUGCCGCGUGAGUGAUGAAGGCCCUAGGGUUGUAAAGCUCUUUUACCAGGGAUGAUAAUGACAGUACCUGGAGAAUAAGCUCCGGCUAACUCCGUGCCAGCAGCCGCGGUAAU
rnacentral:rRNA from 1 species